rnacentral:lncRNA from 1 species
GUUCCAAAUCCUUCCUGUUCUUUGGAAGAUGGUUCAAGUGUUCAUCGGGUUCAAAAUGUUCCAAAAGUGUCAUUUCAUAGGUCAUUAAUGAUCCGAUUAAUUCUUCUAAUGGAAAAUCAUUUAAAUUUUUUGUCUCUUGUAUUGCGGUUAUUUUAGGAUCCCAACUUUUUGGAAGGGAUCUUAAGAUCUUACUUAUGAGAUCAAAAUUCGAAAAAGAUUUACCAAGAACUCUUAGAUUAUUGACGACAUCCGUGAAACGGGUGUACAUGUCGCCUAUAGUCUCGCUUGG